rnacentral:rRNA from 1 species
GGUUCAGGAUGAACGCUAGCGACAGGCCUAACACAUGCAAGUCGAGGGGCAGCAUAACGAAGGCUUGCUUUGUUGAUGGCGACCGGCGCACGGGUGAGUAACGCGUAUCCAACCUUCCCUAUACUAGAGGAUAGCCCGGCGAAAGUCGGAUUAAUACUCUAUGUUCUUCGUAGAAGACAUCUGAAAUGAAGCAAAGGUUUACCGGUAUAGGAUGGGGAUGCGUCUGAUUAGGUUGUUGGCGGGGUAACGGCCCACCAAGCCCACGAUCAGUAGGGGUUCUGAGAGGAAGGUCCCCCACAUUGGAACUGAGACACGGUCCAAACUCCUACGGGAGGCAGCAGUGAGGAAUAUUGGUCAAUGGACGAGAGUCUGAACCAGCCAAGUAGCGUGCAGGAAUGACGGCCCUAUGGGUUGUAAACUGCUUUUAUACAGGGAUAAAGUGCACUACGUGCAGUGUUUUGUAGGUACUGUAUGAAUAAGGACCGGCUAAUUCCGUGCCAGCCGCAGC